rnacentral:rRNA from 1 species
AGCGAACGCUGGCGGCAUGCUUAACACAUGCAAGUCGCACGGGCAGGGGCAACUCUGUCAGUGGCGGACGGGUGAGUAACGCGUAGGUAUCUAUCCUUGGGUGGGGGACAACUGUGGGAAACUACAGCUAAUACCGCAUGAUAAACUGAGGUUUAAAGGCGCAAGUCGCCUGAGGAGGAGCCUGCGUACGAUUAGCUAGUUGGUGGGGU